CAGAUCCUGUAUCCAGUACACCUGGAGGCCAUAAAGCCUGCACACCAGCCACAUUGUCAGUGUUCUUUACUUUGGACAAUCCCUUUUUAUUAGAAGGGCAACAUGACACUAAGAUAAUUGUCCUCCUCCUGGAAUCCCAAGAGAGCAGCUGUAACCUAUGGGGAACCAACAGCAGAACCGAUGCAACCACCACUCCAGCAGGACAUAGCAGUGGAGCUUGUCCUGCAGAGAAAGGUCAAUGCAGAGGAUCCAGGAUCUAAACUGGGAUAUCAGGUUGGG